CCAAGUCCCUUCCCAGGGUUCCUUCAUCAGAGGGAAAGUGCUUUGCAAACUCACCAUGACUGGGGCACUAGGACCUUCCUCUCACUCAUCCGCCCUGGCAGAUGAGGGACCCACAGAGACAAAGUUUCGGAGGGCCACAGCUUUGGGGAGACAUGCACCCAGGUCCCCUUGUGGUAAGAGACGUCUCUUCCCAAGCUUAUGACCUGGAACCCCGCCCACCCUGGAGAUGGGGACGGGAGGAGCUGGGGGAGGAGUCAGCGAGCAAAUCUUUCCCUCCUGCUCAGCUGCCUCCUGCCCCUGCCCCAGGAGCAGACCCCGCAGCUCUGGGGAGGGCUAAUUACAGUCCGUUUGAACCCAAUGGCUGCCACCUCCCUAUUAAAACGCCAGAGGCUAGUUCUGCUCCUACAGUGCAGGGGGGUCUGCCACGCGGGAGGGAGGUUAAGGUGACUGCCCCCACCGUAUUCCCACAGAAGACACAUGGCUUAUUCCCUGGAGGGGAGAACCAAGGGACUUUGUACAGGGGAAGAGCGGAUCCAGCGGGGGCACGGGCAUCUCUCUGAAGACAAG
rnacentral:lncRNA from 1 species